rnacentral:hammerhead_ribozyme from 1 species
AUUUAGCUGUGGAGUCCCAAAUAGGACGAAACGCGCAUCCUGGAU